UACCAGACUCCUACGGGAGGCAGCAGUGGGGAAUAUUGCACAAUGGGGGAAACCCUGAUGCAGCAACGCCGCGUGAGUGAAGAAGUAUUUCGGUAUGUAAAGCUCUAUCAGCAGGGAAGAAAAUGACAGUACCUGACUAAGAAGCCCCGGCUAACUACGUGCCAGCAGCCGCGGUAAUACGUAGGGGGCAAGCGUUAUCCGGAUUUACUGGGUGUAAAGGGAGCGUAGACGGUGAAGCAAGUCUGAAGUGAAAGGCGGGGGCUCAACCCCCGGACUGCUUUGGAAACUGUUUGACUGGAGUGCAGGAGAGGUAAGUGGAAUUCCUAGUGUAGCGGUGAAAUGCGUAGAUAUUAGGAGGAACACCAGUGGCGAAGGCGGCUUACUGGACUGUAACUGACGUUGAGGCUCGAAAGCGUGGGGAGCAAACAGGAUUAGAUACCCCGGUAC
rnacentral:rRNA from 1 species